AGAGUUUGAUCAUGGCUCAGGAUGAACGCUAGCUACAGGCUUAACACAUGCAAGUCGAGGGGAAACGACAUCGAAAGCUUGCUUUUGAUGGGCGUCGACCGGCGCACGGGUGAGUAACGCGUAUCCAACCUGCCCAUCACUUGGGGAUAACCUUGCGAAAGUAAGACUAAUACCCAAUGACGUCUCUAGAAGACAUCUGAAAGAGAUUAAAGAUUUAUCGGUGAUGGAUGGGGAUGCGUCUGAUUAGCUUGUUGGCGGGUAACGGCCACCAAGGCGACGAUCGAGUAGGGGUUCUGAGAGGAAGGUCCCCANAUUGGAACUGAGACACGGUCCAAAACUCCGUACGGGAGGCA
rnacentral:rRNA from 1 species